rnacentral:rRNA from 1 species
AACGAACGCUGGCGGCAUGCCUAACACAUGCAAGUCGAACGAGACCUUCGGGUCUAGUGGCGCACGGGUGCGUAACGCGUGUGAAUCUACCCUUGGGUUCGGAAUAACAGUUAGAAAUGACUGCUAAUACCGGAUGAUGACGUAAGUCCAAAGAUUUAUAGCACAAGGAUGAGCCCGCGUAAGAUUAGCUUGUUGGUGGGGUAAUGGCCUACCAAGGCGACGAUCUUUAGCUGGUCUGAGAGGAUGAUCAGCCACACUGGGACUGAGACACGGCCCAGACUCCUACGGGAGGCAGCAGUGGGGAAUAUUGGACAAUGGGCGAAAGCCUGAUCCAGCAAUGCCGCGUGAGUGAUGAAGGCCUUAGGGUUGUAAAGCUCUUUUACCAGGGAUGAUAAUGACAGUACCUGGAGAAUAGGCUCCGGCUAACUCCGUGCCAGCAGCCGCCGUAA